rnacentral:rRNA from 1 species
GACGAACGCUGGCGGCGUGCUUAACACAUGCAAGUCGAACGGUGAAGCCUUUCGGGGUGGAUCAGUGGCGAACGGGUGAGUAACACGUGAGCAAUCUGCCCUUGACUCUGGGAUAACGUUCGGGAAACCGGAGCUAAUACCGGAUAUGACAUACGGCCGCAUGGUCUGUGUGUGGAAAGUAUUUAUUGGUCAGGGAUGAGCUCGCGGCCUAUCAGCUUGUUGGNGGGGUAAUGGCCUACCAAGGCGACGACGGGUAGCCGGCCUGAGAGGGCGACCGGCCACACUGGGACUGAGACACGGCCCAGACUCCUACGGGAGGCAGCAGGUGGGGAAUAUUGGACAAUGGGCGCAAGCCUGAUCCAGCCAUGCCGCGUGAGUA